rnacentral:rRNA from 1 species
UGGGGAAUCUUCCGCAAUGGGCGAAAGCCUGACGGAGCAACGCCGCGUGGGGGACGAAGGCCUUCGGGUCGUAAACCCCUGUCAUGGGGAAAGAAGGGCAUCAGGGUGAACAGCCUUGGUGCUUGACGGUACCCCAAGAGGAAGCCACGGCCAACUCCGUGCCAGCAGCCGCGGUAAUACGGAGGUGGCAAGCGUUGUUCGGAAUUACUGGGCGUAAAGGGCGCGUAGGCGGGGAGGUAAGUCGGGUGUGAAAUCCCUCGGCUCAACCGAGGAACGGCGCCCGAAACUGUCUCUCUUGAGUCCCGGAGAGGAAGGUGGAAUUCCCGGUGUAGCGGUGAAAUGUGUAGAGAUCGGGAGGAACACCGGUGGCGAAGGCGGCCUUCUGGACGGUGACUGACGCUGAGGCGCGAAAGCGUGGGGAGCAAACGGG